GGGGCUGUAGCUCAGUUGGUUGAGAGUACCUGACUGUCGAUCAGGGGGUCGCGGGUUCGAGUCCCGUCAGCCCCGCCA
rnacentral:tRNA from 2 species